rnacentral:rRNA from 1 species
GAUGAACGCUGGCGGCGUGCCUAAUACAUGCAAGUCGUACGGAAAGGCCCUUCGGGGUACUCGAGUGGCGGACGGCUGAGUAACGCGUGGGAACGUGCCCCAAAGUGAGGGAUAACGCACCGAAAGGUGUGCUAAUACCGCAUAUGGUCUUCGGAUUAAAGCUUGGGCGCUUUGGGAGCGGCCCGCGUACGAUUAGAUAGUUGGUGAGGUAAUGGCUCACCAAGUCGACGAUCGUUAGCUGGUCUGAGAGGAUGAUCAGCCAGACUGGGACUGAGACACGGCCCAGACUCCUACGGGAGGCAGCAGUAAGGAAUCUUCCACAAUGGGGGCAACCCUGAUGGAGCAACGCCGCAUGCAGGAUGAAGGUUUUCGGAUCGUAAACUGCUUUUAUAAGUGAAGAAUAUGACGGUAACUUAUGAAUAAGGAUCGGCUAACUACGUGCCAGCCGCCGCAGUAA